rnacentral:rRNA from 1 species
AUCAACUUUCGAUGGUAGGAUAGAGGCCUACCAUGGUGGUAACGGGUAACGGGGUGUUAGGGCACGACACCGGAGAGGGAGCCUGAGAAACGGCUACCACAUCCAAGGAUGGCAGCAGGCGCGCAAAUUACCCAAUCCCGACACGGGGAGGUAGUGACAAUAAAUAACAAUACGGGGUUCUUUCGGAUCUCGUAAUUGGAAUGAGUACAAUUUAAAUCUCUUAACGAGGAACAAUUGGAGGGCAAGUCUGGUGCCAGCAGCCGCGGUAAUUCCAGCUCCAAUAGCGUAUAUUAAAGUUGCUGCAGUUAAAAAGCUCGUAGUUGAAUUUCGGGACCAAUAUGUCGGUCGUGCUUCGGUACGUACUGUCAUAAUUGGUUUCUCCCUUCUGAAGAACCUUGAUGUCAUUAAUUUGGUGUCUUGGGGAAUCAGGACUGUUACUUUGAAAAAAUUAGAGUGUUUAAAGCAGGCUCGCGCUUGAAUACAUUAGCAUGGAAUAAUGAAAUAGGACGUUUGAUUCUAUUUUGUUGGUUUCUAGGAUCGACGUAAUGAUUAAUAGGGAUAGUUGGGGGCGUUAGUAUUCAAUUGUCAGAGGUGAAAUUCUUGGAUUUAUUGAAGACUAACUACUGCGAAAGCAUUUGCCAAGGAUGUUUUCAUUAAUCAAGAACGAAAGUUAGGGGAUUGAAGACGAUCAGAUACCGUCGUAGUCUUAACCAUAAACUAUGCCGACUAGGGAUCGGAUGAUGUUAAUUUUUUAAUGACUCAUUCGGCGCCUUACGGGAAACCAAAGUGUUUGGGUUC